rnacentral:misc_RNA from 1 species
UGAAUAUUGGAAUGCCAAGAAAUCAAAUAGAUGUAAAGGACAAGCAUGUUGGAUAACUAAAGGAAGAUGAAGAUGAACCCAUUACAAUUAGUCUAAUUCCAGUCUGGUUUACAAGAGAGAAAACCGUCUGGUUUACGCCAGUUUCAGUCCAGCGGACCAUGGCCAUAUCUAUCAAUAUCUUAUAAAGGAUAAAUGAAUGAAAUUUGAACGGCUGUGCUGGAAACAUUGAAUCAGAUGUUCACCUUUCGCCACUCAACAGAAGCCAAUCUACCCCUAUAACACAUGUUAUUGUUUAAAUAGCACCAAGGAGCAUGUCUUACACUAAAAUUUACUGUUUAUGUAUUGUCUGAAAAAUAUUUUAUAAGUUCCAAUCCAAGUUUCUACAUAAAUAACUGCUAGAGAUUGACAAUAUGCUAUAAUAACACUCUAGUUUUCUCAUCUUCAAAGGAAAUUAGAUGCAUAAAUAUUGAAGCAUAAGCAAGAGUGGAAUCACCCCCAUGAACUAGAAUCACACAGCAAUGCAUAGGAACAAAAUUAAAAUUCAGAGCGUGAUGCUGACUGGGGAGUAAAGAUAUACAUUGCACAGUCAUGAGAAUCAACUCGAGCACCAAAUGAUGCCACUGCAUCUCCUGUAACAUCUUUGUGCUGCCACAAGUUUCGCACUGAGACACUGGUGCCAGAUUCAAGCCCAAGUACAUUCCAUUUAGCUGUAACUGUUGCAGCUUUGGAACAACGAUUCCAGAGAGCAACCACUAAGCGAUUUCCUGACAAAGGACCUGCCCAGACCUGUAGGCAACCAUCAGUUCCAGCAGUGUAAACUUUCCUUCCCUGGACUCCAAGUGGGUCUUGGUUUAUGGCAAUGACCUCCUCAUUUGUUAGAAUCUCAUAAGUUUCUGCUGUCAUGUUUCUCACGUCGCAACCAAUCAAAAGUGGGGCCUGUACAUCUAAGCUCACAAUAAGCAUUAUGGUUUCAAAAGGUCAGAUUUAGCUUGCAUGUCCAAUGCUAAGCUUGUGCAAGUUUGAAAAGAGGCAGAGUUCCCACAUGACCCACAAGGAGCACUAAACAAGUGGCACUUCUACAUAUUCAUGACCAAUUAAAACAUUCAGGCGUCACAAAAGGGUAAGAUAACAACAUGGAAACAUGUCAAAAUGAUAAAAGGAAAAAUAAGCAUGGUUUUUCUGAACCAUACAAUUCUAUCCAACUCAACAAAGCCUUAACCAGAAAUAUAUGGAAUGGACAUCAUGAUAGUUUCUUCACUAGCUCUUAUGAUGGUAUUUUCCAUCAUAUAUAAUCAUUGAUUAGCUUAAAAAAAAAUGGAAUAAAUACGUCAUUAUUGCGCUGGUUAAUCUUUCUGGAUUAGAAAAAGCAUAAAAAUAAUAAUAAAUUAAGGAUAUUUUGCCAAUUCAAUCAUAAAUCCCAAGCUACAUCAGUAAAAGAAGUAGAAUUCAGAGGAGAGACCUUCAUCAAAGCCCAGAUGCUAAAAUGAGCACGAUACUCCUGGUAAGUCAUGCCUCCAUUGCCAACUUCCAACAUAUCUGGAUCAUUCCAUCCACCAGGUCCUGCGUAGGCUGCCCAUUUAUCAUUCAGAUCAGCUAAAGUGGUCAUGCUUGCCCAUGAAUCAUUGAUGUCAUCUGUUGUGCGCCAACUAUUUCCAACUUUCCCAGCCCAUAAGGCAGGGUCAUCGACACCCCAUUCACAAAGUGAAUAGAAAAUUGUACGUCCAGUUGCAUUAAGAGCAUCACGCAUUGGUGGGUACCUUUUUUUUGGUUCAAUGCCCAAAUUGUAACAGUUAUCAUACUUUAGAUAAUCCACAUCCCAAGAAGCAAACAAGUCUGCAUCAUCUUUUUCAUGGUAAAGUGACCCUGGUCGAACUUGACAUGUAAAAAUCCUAUAGAAAUGCAGUUUGGUGAGUCCAAAGAGUGAGUAGAGAUCUAAUUAGCAGUGAUCUAAGGAAUGAUCUAUCUUCCAGCUUCAGAACAAAUGCUGAAAAGUUUAUCCUACCCAGCAUCAGAAUAGAUACCAAGCUUGAGGCCUUUCCCAUGUACAUAAUCCGCAAGAGCUUUGAUUCCCGAUGGAAAUGUUUUUGGAUCAGGGACCAACUGACCCUGUACCUCUCGUGUUGCAGAAGACCAACAAUCAUCUGCAUCCAAUGAAUUGGAAUAAACCUGAAGAGAAUCAAAAAGGCCAAGUAACAGGAAAAAUAAAAAAUAAAAAACUUGAAACAACCAGAGCAUCAUACCUAUGUUGACAUAAACAUAACCUAAAUCAGCCAAGCCAGUUGAAAUAAGUGCAUCAGCUGUUUCCUUGAUGACAGUUUCAUUGAUAUUGCAAGCAAAGAAAUUCCAGCUAUUCCAUCCCAUCUGAGGAGUUCGAGCCAAGCCGUUGUUGAGCUGAAAAAUCCCAUACUUGGAAGUAUCAAAAAUCAUACUAAAAGAUUUGCUAUACCCAAAAUUCCAUUUCUCAUAGCUCUGCAGCAGAGGCUCUUCUCUCCCUGCAACUGCCUCUCGAAUCAGCCAUAAAGAUAGAGAAAGACCCACAAAAUACAGAGAGAAAGAACAGCAUCUCUUCCCCAUGAGCGAAUACAAUCCUUCGAGUUUGUUCUUUUGCUCUUCAAAGCUAUUAUAUCGAAAAU